rnacentral:rRNA from 1 species
UACGUAGGGGGCAAGCGUUGUCCGGAUUUAUUGGGCGUAAAGAGCGUGUAGGCGGCCUGACAAGUCUGCUGUGAAAACUCGAGGCUCAACCUCGAGAUGUCGGCGGAAACUGUCUGGCUAGAGUCCGGAAGAGGAGAGUGGAAUUCCUGGUGUAGCGGUGAAAUGCGCAGAUAUCAGGAGGAACACCUAUGGCGAAGGCAGCUCUCUGGGACGGUACUGACGCUGAGACGCGAAAGCGUGGGGAGCGAACAGG